UACGGAGGGGGCUAGCGUUGUUCGGAAUUACUGGGCGUAAAGCGCACGUAGGCGGCUUUGCAAGUCAGAGGUGAAAGCCCGGGGCUCAACCCCGGAAUUGCCUUUGAGACUGCAUCGCUAGAAUUGUGGAGAGGUAAGUGGAAUUCCGAGUGUAGAGGUGAAAUUCGUAGAUAUUCGGAAGAACACCAGUGGCGAAGGCGACUUCCUGGUCCAGCACCGACGUUCAGGCACGAAAGCGUGGGGAGCAAACAGG
rnacentral:rRNA from 1 species